rnacentral:lncRNA from 1 species
AUGUACGUGUUGGUGGUGAUGCUUUCAGUACAUCCCACACCAUCCACCUCCACGGCCAUAACCACCCAAUCCAUCAGGAGUACCAUAUCCUCCACUGUAAUUGUUUCCCAUUCCUAUUCUUCCAACAGAUCCAUAUCCUUCCUGAUUAUCCAUUCCAUCUCUGCUGUAGCCUCCCAUUCCAGAACCUCCCAUUCCAGAGUCACCGCCAGGCGUAGAAUUCAAGAAGAGUUCAAUGUAUCGAUGUUGCAUAUUAUUUUUAUCUUUAGACAUGGCAGCUACUGCAUCUUCAUGUGUCACAAGCUCUGCAUCUGCUUCUCCCGUUGCUCUGCCAUCAGCUCCAAUAUCAAUAUGAACUCAUAUUGGAUUUAGUGGUGAGAAGAAAUUAGCAAUGUCAUUUUCAAUUGCACAAUAAGGCAGGCCUCUCAUAUGUACAAAAUGACCACCAUGAAAACCUGACCUUGCAUCACCAGCCCCACCAUAGGCACUUCCUCCCACACCUCUUCCAUCUCUCAUUCUGUCAUCAAAGCCAUCAUUUCCAUAGCCAUAAUUAUUAUAGCCACCAUAGUCAUCAACAACUCCAUAGCCACCAUCAUAUCCAUCACCUCCUCGUCGCAUUCUGUCAUACAUACUUCUACACCCUGAUCCAUAAUAACCCCCUCUUCUUCCUAUUGGUCUAUCAUAUGGUCCCGGUCGCUCUCCCAGCAAUCUUCUUGGUGGAUCAUAAAAUUCCUUGAUUUCACUCCUGCUACUUCUGAAGAUCUCAAUAUACCUUGAAAGAACUGAACUAUUUCCUCUGUGCUGCAACCAAAUGGCAGUCCACGAAGUCAUACUGUCCCAUCACUAGCGUCAUUUGGACCAUCUCAAUAUCGUUUGACUUAAAUGCCAAAAUGGCGGAGGCCAAACCAGAGGCAGAGAGAAGGGUUGGACGCCCUCCACUUCGGGCCUCCAUGUCAUCCACCAAACUCCAUCCGAGCAAGCCCUCCUCUGGCAGGCCGCCCUCCUUGAAGUGGGAGAUCCCCUGGGAGGUGCAGCCCUGCCUGCCUCCGAGUGGUGACUUCCACACUGCAAUGUUUUCUAAUAAUUUGAUGUUAUCAGUUCAUACAUUUAGGUAUUUAACCCAUUUGGAAAAGAUUUUUGUAUAAGGAUAAGGUAGGGGUAUUGCUUCAGACUUCUCCACAUGAAAAUCCACUUUUCCCAGGGCCAAUAGUUGAAGAGACUGUUCUUGCUCCAAGGAUUGGUUUUAGCUCCUUUUUCAAAGAUAAGUUUCAUGUAGAGGCAUGGAUUGAUUUCUGGCAUUUCUAUUCUGUUCCAUUGGUCUUUCCAUCUUUUUUUUUUUGUACAAGUACCAGGCUGUUUUGAUUAUAACUGC